GGUGUUUUGAGUUAAUUUAGCAAGAAGCUCAGUUACGGAACUAUAUGAACAAUAAGCGACGUUUAACACGAACUGUUUAAGCAGAGCAAAAGCGGCAGACUUUAAAGUUGGCAUGAGGAAAAUUUACAAAUUCCCAGAGGGCAGCAGUCAACAAGGACGUUUCCUCAGUGGAUUUUGGCUGAUUAGGCGACAGCUAAAGGGACACAGAGAGCUCAGUUUUUGAGAUCGAGGCAUCUCGGCUGUUGACAGCUAAUGGAAUUGCUCUUGUGCGUAUGAUCCCACGGAGGCAAAAGCAAGUGAUGAAUGUGAAAUCCGUGCUGUCAGUCGUGAGGCUGAUGUGCCUCCGAAGCCGCCGUUCAUUGGCAGAAGUGUCUGGAGCGGUAGGCGCGUGUCCUCCGACGUGUUAGACCCUGUCUACCUGCCAGAGCCUCUGCUUGGCAGCUGACAAAUGUUGAUUCUACAUUAAGCACAAUGCUGCAGCGCUGUGCAAAUAAUGUUCUUACGGAUAGCGAGCCUCAUCCCCUGUAUGGCUAAAAGCAUGCCAUCCUCCCCAGUUUAACACCCUCUGAAAGUAGAGGUGGGGGCGCAAACUGUCUCGAACAACACAGUAGCCUCUUUAUUUGGCAGCGCCUGGGAAGGCCGAGGCCUCUCGCCGCCCGAGUCGACCUAAGCAACAGCUGGUGUUCACAGCAACAUUUCCUAUUUCUGCCUAAGGUGGAUCGUGUAACUCUCACUUUAUCACCCUUAGAGGCCACGUGAAGGACAAAGCUAGCACACCCAUAAACAAAACUAAUGUUUUGAUACAAGCCCCUCGGGGGACUGCUGGAGGAGUCCGUGGUGGUUUUAAUACCCCCUCAGCAGUCCUCUGCACAUUUGACCUAUAUCAACUUUUUAAGCCUAUGAGGUGGGGUCCCAUGCCGUUAGUCUGUCCUCUGACAUGAUUGACAAUGAGCAUGAGAAAGACACAGUGCCUUUAGAGUUUUUUUUGUCAUCAGCACCGAGUUUAAUAUGAUACACUGUUGACUCGCGGUGCCUCCGUCUAGUGAACCCUCUGAGCCACUGUUUUUUUCACUUAAGACCUUUAAAUCAGGAUCACUGUGUUCAUAUCAAUACUGACUUAAUUAAUUCCCUUAUUAGCUUUUUUAUAUAUAGUUUUAAAAGUAUAUAAAAACAUUAUUUUUUAAAUGCCAUAUUUACAACUAAAGCUUGUUUUAAUUAGCAACUCAUCUGAGUUUUUUUUUCCCCUCUUGACUAAUAUGUUAAUAUAUUGACUAAUAUGUUAAUAUUCCUUUUCACAACUGAGAUGCACAACAUUUGCUAAACAGAAUUUUCCAAUAAUAUAAAAAUGUUGUUCUAAAAGAUCUAUAACAAAGCACCAUCGUCCAUUAAGUGGUUUUCCUGGAGCUUCCCUUCGUGUCUUACGUUCCAUUAUUAGCUGUUCCUGUAUUUUAUUUCUUGGAAAGAAAAGAAAAAAAUCCUAUUUUCCUUCAUAUUCCUAAACGAGCUGCCAUGGUUAUACAAACAUGUGUAAGAAAAGGUCAGACUAAUACCCUUCACACCGUUUCUGAUUGGCCUUUUGUGUUUAUGUCCCAUUGCAGCAACAGUUAACUCUGAUCUCGGGCUCCUAUUUGUCCCCGUGGCCCAUUACUGGCUCCCAGCCCAGAGUGUCAGAUGCACAGGCAACCUGUACUGACCUGAUAACAUUUAUAGAUGUAAUGGAUUUUUUUAUGCCUGUCAUUAACUCGCUCAAAGAUUGGAGAAAGAAAUUGCUUGUACCUUAUUCUGUGGUAUUUCAACUUUAUAGCAUUAUGUUCAGAUAUGUCACCUUCCAUCAUCCAUUUUAGGGCCUCUCCUGUCACUGGUUUUGUUUUAAAUGUACAGGUCUUUUGUCCAGGGCCCUUGUAGUAUCCAGGACUUGUAAUGAAUAUUUAAUGAUGUUGAGUAAAAGCUUAUAAAAAAAAAGGAUAUAAUUUUGUCCAAUUAUUGGUUCUGUCUUUUCCAGACAGUUAGGGGUGAUUUAGCAGAACACUUGGUUGAUGUAGACAGUUUUUAUGAAGCUGCUUCAAAUAAAAUCAUUUAACAAU